rnacentral:rRNA from 1 species
ACUCAAAUGAAUUGACGGGGGCCCGCACAAGCAGCGGAGCGUGUGGUUUAAUUCGAUGCAACGCGAAGAACCUCACCUAGGCUUGACAUGGCCGGAGUAGGAGCCCGAAAGGGGGACGACCCGUCAAAUCGGGAACGGUCACAGGUGCUGCAUGGCUGUCGUCAGCUCGUGCCGUGAGGUGUUGGGUUAAGUCCCGCAACGAGCGCAACCCUCGGCGUUAGUUACGAUGUCUAACGCGACUGCCGGUUUCAAACCGGAGGAAGGUGGGGAUGACGUCAAGUCAGCACGGCCCUUACGCCUAGGGCUACACACACGCUACAAUGGCCGGUACAAUGGGACGCCAAAGGGUGACCUGGAGCAAAUCCCAGCAAAGCCGGUCUCAGUUGGGAUUGCAGGCUGCAACUCGCCUGCAUGAACGAGGAGUUGCUAGUAACCGCAGGUCAGCACACUGCGGUGAAUACGUUCCCGGGCCUUGUACACACCGCCCGU